GACGAACGCUGGCGGCGUGCUUAACACAUGCAAGUCGAGCGAGAAAGCUCCUUCGGGAGUGAGUAAAGCGGCGAACGGGUGAGUAACACGUGGGCAACCUGCCCCGAGGAGCGGGACAACCCGGGGAAACCCGGGCUAAUACCGCAUGAUCCGCUUCGGCAUAAGUCGAUGCGGCAAAUGGUAGCUUCGGCCUCCGCCUUGGGAUGGGCCCGCGCCGCAUUAGCUAGUUGGUGAGGUAACGGCUCACCAAGGCAACGAUGCGUAGCUGGUCUGAGAGGACGAUCAGCCACACUGGGACUGAGACACGGCCCAGACUCCUACGGGAGGCAGCAGUGGGGAAUCUUGCGCAAUGGGCGAAAGCCUGACGCAGCAACGCCGCGUGAGGGAAGACGGCUUUCGGGUUGUAAACCUCUUUCAGGAGGGACGAAGCUUCCAGGGUUAAUAGCCCAUGGGGUGACGGUACCUCCAGAAGAAGCCCCGGCUAACUACGUGCCAGCCGCCGCCGUAACAC
rnacentral:rRNA from 1 species